GGCUAAUAAUGUUUCUAGGGUUUUCUACUAUUCCUGCCUUGGACGAGCCAACCACAGAGAGCUCAGAGCUCGGAGACGAUAGAAGUACUCGGCGAUCGCCAGGAAACACCUCGCUGCUUGCGGAUGCAGCCGAUGAAGGGUUUGGUGCCUCAGAUUAUCUGCCUGUCUAACAAAACCUUCAAGUGUAGAUAGCUUGUUCAUGGCUACAGCCAUUUGGCCCAUGUAGUUAGCCAUAUUGGGAGGACAGCUCAAUGAAUCAGAAGCUAUAGUAUCUGAUAGAGAUUGAUUUAGAGAUUCAAGCCCUUGUGACAGAGCUUCUUCAGCCUCCUGCGUCGAUUGCUGCAAUCCAUAUAUCCCUAAGAUUUGCUGCUCUGUUAAGGGCUCGAU
rnacentral:misc_RNA from 1 species